AGAUUGAUGACUGAUCUAAUCUUGGCCUCGAGCAAUGCUAAAAAAAGCAGCUUUACCUUUUCACUGCCAUUCAGACACAAUGGUGAGGGAAGAAAUAUUAGAAGCCUGGAAAAGGCAGAGAAAAUACACAUCCCUGAGCCUGGUCAAAAAGUGGUCUGGUUGCUCCAGAGAGGAGAAACUUCCAGCAAACAGAGUGGCCUGAUCAUGGCCAGAAGGAAAGGGUAAGGAGCCAGCACAGGGUUAGGGUCAGGGUUAGGGCUGUUUAGCUUCAUGGGAUGGAUUGCUGUGUGCUCCUUCACACCUCCCAGCUUCCAGCAUUUUGUGUUCAGGGUCUCCCUGGGAUGUUCAUAGAAUCAUAGAAUUGCUCAGGUUGGACAAGACCUUAAAGAUCAUCGAGUCCAACCACAACCCAACCAUCCUACCCUAACUCUAACAGCCCUCCACUAAAUCAUGUCCCUGAGCCCCACAUCCAGAUGGCUUGAACUCCAGGGUGAAUUUGAACCCAAAUCCCUAGAAAAUGUGUGCACAAAUGAAUGAUUUUGGUAAGUGAAUCAUGGAAUCAUAGAAUCACCAAGGUUGGAAAAGACCCACAGGGUCAUCCAGUCCAACCAUUCACCCAUCACCAAUGGCUCUCACUAAACCACGUCCCUCAACACAAUGUCCAAAUGUUCCUUGAAGGUCCUUCUUUGAAGAAGAAGAGCAGAAACUUGAAGGAGUCCGUUGAGUCUAAGUCAGAUCAAUCAGAUCAUUUAUCUGCUGUGGGAGGGUGACAGAGUUUAUACACAGGGAAAAACACCAUCUGUCCAUCUGUCUUAAUUCUUGAGAUGAAGUAUAUCACAUAUAUUGCAUGGUGUUUUUAUAAAUGAGCCAGAGUGUAUUGCUGAGCUUGAGCCACCAUCAGGUGAUCAGAGGGUUUACAAGGGUGGAUAGUGAUAGGACAAGGGGGAAUGGUUUUAAACUGAGACAGGGGAGGUUUAGGUUGGAUAUGAGGAGGAAGUUUUUCCCCCAGAGGGUGGUGACGCACUGAACAGGUUGCCCAAGGAGGCUGUGGAUGCCCCAUCCCUGCAGGCAUUCAAGGCCAGGCUGGAUGUGGCUCUGGGCAGCCUGGGCUGCUGGUUGGCGACCCUGCACAUAGCAGGGGGUUGGAGCUGGAUGAGCAUUAUGGUCCUUUCCAACCCAUAUUGUAUGAUUUUGUGACACCCUG
rnacentral:lncRNA from 1 species